rnacentral:tRNA from 1 species
UGUGUAUGUAGUUUAAAUAAAACUUUACAUUUUCAUUGUAAAAAUAGAACCUUUCUCAUACAC